GUGAUUGUUUUGGUGACUGGUUUCUUUACUGGGAAGGACAAUAUCAGGCGCAAGUUUACACAAUUAUUCUUUUUGGCUCCACAAGACAGUCAUGUCUACUUUGUUUUAAAUGAUAUUUUUAGGUAUGUGGAUGAAGAAGUAAUGCCCAUUAAAAUCAAUGAUGAAGAUGAAGAUUCUCCGGCUGCUCCUGUCACACCAGAUCCUGAGCCAACUCUGGAUUCCAAUCAUUCUUUGAUGGAUCAUGCAG
rnacentral:misc_RNA from 1 species